rnacentral:lncRNA from 1 species
AGAGAUACAGCAGUAAGAGACCCUAGAAGGUCUUUGGAUCUGGGUAGGAGCAGAUCAAUUAGAGGAACAGUUCAGGGAGGAGCGUCAGAGGACAUGGGGGAUGAUAUGGACGUAGAGCAGAGAAGGGAUGGCAGUCUGGGAGUUAGCAUGUCAGAGGAAGGUAUGGGAGAAUCCCAAGGAGGCACUCAGGCCUCGGGAUUUGUUCAGCCACCCCACUACCCACAUUUCUCACAACAUCCCGGGUAUUCGAUGGGAGGUACAUCGGAUUACCCUAGCUUCACCCCU